rnacentral:rRNA from 1 species
UACGGAGGGUGCAAACGUUGCUCGGAAUCAUUGGGCGUAAAGCGCACGUAGGCGGUCUGUUAAGUCGGAUGUGAAAGCCCUCGGCUCAACCGAGGAAGUGCAUACGAAACUGGCGGACUUGAAUAUGGAAGAGGGUCGCGGAAUUCCCGGUGUAGAGGUGAAAUUCGUAGAUAUCGGGAGGAACACCAGUGGCGAAGGCGGCGACCUGGGCCAUAACUGACGCUGAGGCACGAAAGCGUGGGGAGCAAACAGG